rnacentral:rRNA from 1 species
CUGCUGCCUUCCGUAGGAGUUUGGACCGUGUCUCAGUUCCAAUGUGGGGGACCUUCCUCUCAGAACCCCUACGCAUCGUCGGCUUGGUGGGCCGUUGCCCCACCAACUACCUAAUGCGCCGCAUGCCCAUCCGUGACCGGGGUCGCCCCCUUUGGCCGGCAGGGGAUGUCCCCUCCCGGCAUUAUGUUGUAUUAGGCGGGAUUUCUCCCGGUUAUCCAUCUGUCACGGCCAGGUUGCAUACGUGUUACUCACCCGUGCGCCGGUCGCCGGCGG